rnacentral:rRNA from 1 species
CCCGCUCAGAAACUCAAAUGAAUUGACGGGGCCCGGCACAAGCGGUGGAGUAUGUGGUUUAAUUCGAUGCAACGCGAAGAACCUUACCUGGUCUUGACAUCCCGGAGACCCUUAGGAAACUAGGGGUGCUUCCAUCUGGAAGAAUCUGGAGACAGGUGCUGCAUGGCUGUCGUCAGCUCGUGUCGUGAGAUGUUGGGUUAAGUCCCGCAACGAGCGCAACCCUUGCCUUUAGUUGCCAGCAGUUCGGCUGGGCACUCUAAAGGGACUGCCGGUGUUAAACCGGAGGAAGGUGGGGAUGACGUCAAGUCCUCAUGGCCUUUAUGACCAGGGCUACACACGUACUACAAUGGCCGAUACAAAGGGCAGCGACACUGCGAGGUGAAGCCAAUCCCGUAAAAUCGGUCUCAGUCCGGAUUGGAGUCUGCAACUCGACUCCAUGAAGUUGGAAUCGCUAGUAAUCGUGGAUCAGCAUGCCACGGUGAAUACGUUCCCGGGCCUU